rnacentral:rRNA from 1 species
UAUUGCACAAUGGGGGAAACCCUGAUGCAGCGACGCCGCGUGAAGGAUGAAGUAUUUCGGUAUGUAAACUUCUAUCAGCAGGGAAGAAACUGACGGUACCUGACUAAGAAGCCCCGGCUAACUACGUGCCAGCAGCCGCGGUAAUACGUAGGGGGCAAGCGUUAUCCGGAUUUACUGGGUGUAAAGGGAGCGUAGACGGUAUGGCAAUUCUGAUAGGAAAACCCGGGGCUCAACCCCGGGACUGCAAUGGAAACUGUCGGACUAGAGUGUCGGAGAGGCAAGUGGAAUUCCUAGUGUAGCGGUGAAAUGCGUAGAUAUUAGGAGGAACACCAGUGGGGAAGGCGGCUUGCUGGACGAUGACUGACGUUGAGGCUCGAAAGCGUGGGGAGCAA